rnacentral:rRNA from 1 species
AGAGCGAACGCUGGCGGCAGGCUUAACACAUGCAAGUCGAACGGAUCCUUCGGGAUUAGUGGCGGACGGGUGAGUAACACGUGGGAACGUGCCUUUGGUUCGGAACAACUCAGGGAAACUUGAGCUAAUACCGGAUGUGCCCUUCGGGGGAAAGAUUUAUCGCCAUUAGAGCGGCCCGCGUCUGAUUAGCUAGUUGGUGAGGUAAAAGCUCACCAAGGCGACGAUCAGUAGCUGGUCUGAGAGGAUGACCAGCCACAUUGGGACUGAGACACGGCCCAAACUCCUACGGGAGGCAGCAGUGGGGAAUCUUGCGCAAUGGGCGAAAGCCUGACGCAGCCAUGCCGCGUGGAUGAUGAAGGUCUUAGGAUUGUAAAAUCCUUUCAGCGGGGACGAUAAUGACGGUACCGCAGAAGAAGCCCCGGCUAACUUCGCGCCAGCAGCCGC